rnacentral:rRNA from 1 species
GACGGGACCGCACAAGCGGUGAUGAUGUGUUUAAUUCGAUGCAACGCGAAAACCUUACCCACCUUUGACAUGUACGGAAUCCUUUAGAGAUAGAGGAGUGCUCGAAAGAGAGCCGUAACACAGGUGCUGCAUGGCUGUCGUCAGCUCGUGUCGUGAGAUGUUGGGUUAAGUCCCGCAACGAGCGCAACCCUUGUCAUUAGUUGCUACAUUCAGUUGGGCACUCUAAUGAGACUGCCGGUGACAAACCGGAGGAAGGUGGGGAUGACGUCAAGUCCUCAUGGCCCUUAUAGGUGGGGCUACACACGUCAUACAAUGGAUGGUACAAAGGGUCGCCAACCCGCGAGGGGGAGCCAAUCCCAUAAAGCCAUUCGUAGUCCGGAUCGCAGUCUGCAACUCGACUGCGUGAAGUCGGAAUCGCUAGUAAUCGUGGAUCAGAAUGUCACGGUGAAUACGUUCCCGGGUCUU